GGUGGCUCAGUGGUAGAGCGCUUGCCUUGCAUGCGUGAGACCAUGGGUUCGAUUCCCCAGCACCA
rnacentral:tRNA from 1 species